rnacentral:rRNA from 1 species
GUAGACGCUAGUCUCAGAGAUUAAGCCAUGCAUGUCUAUGGAACAAGGACGAACAGCUCAGUAAAACUGCGAUGAUUCAGUCUGUCCGCGCAGAUAACCACGCGAAAGUGUGGCUAAGAGGGGACAGAACAAGACGCAGGACUAUCAGUUAGUUGGCAGUGUAAUGGACUACCAAGACAGUGACGGUUGACGGGGAAUGAGGGUUCUAUACCGGAGAGGGAGCCUGAGAGAUAGCUCCCACGUCCAAGGACGGCAGCAGGCGCGAAAAUUGCCCACUGUUUGGAGGAGGCAGUUAUGAGACGUGAGAGAGAGUGCUUGGCAAAGAGAAGCAGGAGAAUUGGAGGGCAAGUUUGGUGCCAGCAGCCGCGGUAAUACCGACUCCAAGAGUGUGUAUGAGAGAUGCUGCAGUUAAAAAGUCCGUAGUCGGGGAGACAGAAACAGAGGAGGGCCUCUUGGGGAUGCUCUGGAGAAGCCAACAGGGGGCACAGUAUACCAGGGCGAGAGAUGAAAUGCCAAGACCCCUGGUGGACUGAGCGAGGCGAAAGCGGUGCUCUUGUGGGUGUUUGAUGAUCAAGGACGAAGGCUGGAGGAUCGAAAGUGAUUAGAUACCGCUGUAGUUCCAGCAGUAAAAGAUGCCGACAUGCCUGGUGGCAACACGGGGCAGGGAGAAAUCUUAGAGUUCGGGCUCUGGGGAUAGUAUGCUCGCAAGAGUGAAAAUUAAAGAAAUUGACGGAGCUACACCACAAGGAGUGGAUUGUGCGGCUUAAUUUGACUCAACGCGAGGAAACUUACCAGGGCCAAGUGCUGUGUAGAAACGAGCAGCACAGAAGUGGUGCAUGGUCGUUGGAAAUUGAUGGGAUGACUUUGGCCUUAAAUGGCUGAAUGAGUGAGAUCUUCGGACAUGUUCCCACAGGAACAGGAAGGGGAGGCUAUAACAGAUCAGAGAUGCCCUUAGAUGCCCUGGGCUGCACGCGCAAUACAAUAGCACGCACACACACAGAACCACACGUGCUCAGGUGGACUGUGCUCUGUAAGGGGCACACGAAAGAGGAAUUCCUAGUAAGCGCCCAUCAUCAGUGGGCGUUGAAUCAGUCCCUGUAGCUUGUACACACCGUCCGUCACUAUCUCAGAUGCUUUUCGGGAUGAAGAGUCCAGGCUCUGAAUAACGGAAAGUAGAUAAGAUGU